GAUGAACGCUGGCGGCGUGCCUAAUACAUGCAAGUCGAGCGAACAGACGAGGAGCUUGCUCCUCUGACGUUAGCGGCGGACGGGUGAGUAACACGUGGAUAACCUACCUAUAAGACUGGGAUAACUUCGGGAAACCGGAGCUAAUACCGGAUAAUAUAUUGAACCGCAUGGUUCAAUAGUGAAAGACGGUUUUGCUGUCACUUAUAGAUGGAUCCGCGCCGCAUUAGCUAGUUGGUAAGGUAACGGCUUACCAAGGCAACGAUGCGUAGCCGACCUGAGAGGGUGAUCGGCCACACUGGAACUGAGACACGGUCCAGACUACUAAGGGAGGCAGCAGUAGGGAAUCUUCCGCAAUGGGCGAAAGCUUGACGGAGCAACGCCGCGUGAGUGAUGAAGGUCUUCGGAUCGUAAAACUCUGUUAUUAGGGAAGAACAAAUGUGUAAGUAACUAUGCACGUCUUGACGGUACCUAAUCAGAAAGCCACGGCUAACUACGUG
rnacentral:rRNA from 1 species